UACGUAGGGGGCAAGCGUUGUCCGGAAUCAUUGGGCGUAAAGAGCGUGUAGGCGGUCCGGUAAGUCGGCUGUGAAAGUCCAGGGCUCAACCCUGGGAUGCCGGUCGAUACUGCCGGACUAGAGUUCGGAAGAGGCGAGUGGAAUUCCCGGUGUAGCGGUGAAAUGCGCAGAUAUCGGGAGGAACACCUAUGGCGAAGGCAGCUCGCUGGGACGUUACUGACGCUGAGACGCGAAAGCGUGGGGAGCAAACGGG
rnacentral:rRNA from 1 species